rnacentral:rRNA from 1 species
UACCAGCACCCCGAGUGGUCGGGACGAUUAUUGGGCCUAAAGCAUCCGUAGCCGGUCAUGCAAGUCCUCCGUUAAAUCCACCUGCUUAACAGAUGGGCUGCGGAAGAUACUAUAGAGCUAGGAGGCGGGAGAGGCAAGCGGUACUCGAUGGGUAGGGGUAAAAUCCGUUGAUCCAUUGAAGACCACCAGUGGCGAAGGCGGCUUGCCAGAACGCGCUCGACGGUGAGGGAUGAAAGCUGGGGGAGCAAACCGG